rnacentral:rRNA from 1 species
UACGUAGGGUGCAAGCGUUGUCCGGAAUUAUUGGGCGUAAAGAGCUCGUAGGCGGUCUGUCGCGUCUGCUGUGAAAACUCAGGGCUUAACCCUGAGCUUGCAGUGGGUACGGGCAGACUAGAGUGCGGUAGGGGAGACUGGAAUUCCUGGUGUAGCGGUGAAAUGCGCAGAUAUCAGGGAGGAACACCGGUGGGCGAAAGGCGGGUCUCUGGGCCGUAACUGACGCUGGAGGAGCGGAAAAGCAUGGGGGAGCGAACAGG